AGAGUUUGAUCCUGGCUCAGAGCGAACGCUGGCGGCGUGCUUAACACAUGCAAGUCGAGUGCGCGGUGCCGUAGCAAUACGGUACUGGCGCACGGCGCACGGGUGCGUAACACGUGGGUAAUCUGCCCUCUGAUGGGGAAUAACUCGCCGAAAGGCGAGCUAAUUCCGCAUAACAUUCCUUGGACUCCGGUCCGAGGAUUCAAAGGCGUAAGUCGUCGGAGGUGGAGCCCGCGCACGAUUAGCUAGUUGGUGAGGUAAUGGCUCACCAAGGCUAUGAUCGUUAGCUGGUCUGAGAGGAUGGCCAGCCACACUGGAACUGAGACACGGUCCAGACUCCUACGGGAGGCAGCAGUGGGGAAUCUUGCACAAUGGGCGAAAGCCUGAUGCAGCGACGCCGCGUGGGGGAUGAAGCUUCUCGGAGUGUAAACCCCUUUCGACCGGGACGAAUACCUCGCAAGAGGGGUGACGGUACCGGUAUAAGAAGCCCCGGCUAACUACGUGCCAGCAGCCGCGGUAAGACGUAGGGGGCCAGCGUUGCUCGGAAUUACUGGGUGUAAAGGGUUCGUAGGCGGUGUGGCAAGUCGGGAGUGAAAUCUCUGGGCUCAACUCAGGGGCUGCUUCCGAAACUGCCGUGCUAGAGUGUGGGAGAGGCGCGUGGAAUUGCAGGUGUAGCGGUGAAAUGCGUAGAUAUCUGCAGGAACACCCGUGGCGAAAGCGGCGCGCUGGACCACUACUGACGCUGAGGAACGAAAGCUAGGGGAGCAAACAGGAUUAGAUACCCUGGUAGUCCUAGCCCUAAACGAUCAGGACUUGGGGUGCCACCCGUUCGGGUGUCGUCCCGGAGCUAACGCGUUAAGUCCUGCACCUGGGGAGUACGGUCGCAGACUGAAACUCAAAGGAAUUGACGGGGCCGCACAGCGGUGGAACAUGUGGUCAUUCGACGCUACGCGAGACUACUGGCUCGAAAUGCUCUGACAGCUGAGAAAUACGCUUCCCGCAAGUCGGAAUAUAGGCCUGCAUGCUUUCCUCAGCUCGUCUGAGGGUUGAUAGUUCCGCACGAGGCCACCCUGCACGGUAUGCACUCGAGAGGAACUUACUGGACCUCCGGUACGAGAAAUGUUGA
rnacentral:rRNA from 1 species